AUUGAACGCUGGCGGCAUGCUUUACACAUGCAAGUCGAACGGUAACAGGGAGCUUGCUCCGCUGACGAGUGGCGAACGGGUGAGUAAUGCGUCGGAACGUGCCGAGUAGUGGGGGAUAACGCAUCGAAAGGUGUGCUAAUACCGCAUACGUACUGAGGUAGAAAGUGGGGGACCUUCGGGCCUCACGCUAUUCGAGCGGCCGACGUCUGAUUAGCUAGUUGGUGAGGUAAAGGCUCACCAAGGCGACGAUCAGUAGCGGGUCUGAGAGGAUGAUCCGCCACACUGGGACUGAGACACGGCCCAGACUCCUACGGGAGGCAGCUGUGGGGAAUUUUGGACAAUGGGCGCAAGCCUGAUCCAGCCAUGCCGCGUGUCUGAAGAAGGCCUUCGGGUUGUAAAGGACUUUUGUCCGGGAGCAAAUGCUGGUGGCUAACAUCCACCGGAGCUGAGAGUACCGGGAGAAUAAGCACCGGCUAAAUACGUGCCAGCCGCCGCCGUAAUAC
rnacentral:rRNA from 1 species